rnacentral:rRNA from 1 species
GACGAACGCUGGCGGCGUGCUUAACACAUGCAAGUCGAACGGAAAGGCCCUGCUUUUGUGGGGUGCUCGAGUGGCGAACGGGUGAGUAACACGUGAGUAACCUGCCCUUGACUUUGGGAUAACUUCAGGAAACUGGGGCUAAUACCGGAUAGGAGCUCCUGCUGCAUGGUGGGGGUUGGAAAGUUUCGGCGGUUGGGGAUGGACUCGCGGCUUAUCAGCUUGUUGGUGGGGUAGUGGCUUACCAAGGCUUUGACGGGUAGCCGGCCUGAGAGGGUGACCGGCCACGUUGGGACUGGGAUACAGCCCCGACUCCUACGGGAGGCAGCAGUGGGGAAUUUUGCACAAUGGGCGGAAGCCUGAUGCAGCAACGCCGCGUGCGGGAUGACGGCCUUCGGGUUGUAAACCGCUUUCGCCUGUGACGAAGCGUGAGUGACGGUAAUGGGUAAAGAAGCACCGGCUAACUACGUG